CUGGAGCCGGGCGGCGGCCGGAGGAGAUGGACAAACUGACCGUCAUCUCAGGAUGCCUCUUCCUGGCCGCCGACAUCUUCGCCAUCGCCAGCCUGGCCAACCCCGACUGGAUCAACACCGGCGAGUCCGCGGGUGCUCUCACAGUUGGCCUUGUGCGACAGUGUCAAACCAUCCAUGGACGUGACAGGACCUGUAUUCCUCCACGGCUGCCUCCCGAGUGGGUCACUACGUUAUUUUUCAUCAUAAUGGGAAUCAUUUCACUAACUGUCACAUGUGGUUUGCUGGUGGCUUCCCACUGGCGAAGAGAAGCUACUAAAUAUGCCCGCUGGAUAGCUUUCACUGGAAGUGAUUUCAAGACUGAACAGCCCAGUACAGGCGACUAGCAGACACUCUCCUCGCAGAACUUUCAGAACAUGACAUAGGAUGUGCUGUCCUAAGGGGCAGUGAAGUCUGCUGGUAUUGCUAAAGGCAUCUCUGGGACUGGCAGCUCUGUUCUCUUCAAAUGCAAGGGGGGUCUAGAUGAAAUCAUCUAACCGCAAAGGAAUGGUCUUGCUCAGCCCUUUCCUUGCAACUCUGCCAGCAGCAAGGAGAGCCAGGCAAGAGGUCACUCUUGCCCCAUUUGUGCUGGAAUUUGACCCCAAUGGGUUAAGUCAGUUUGUUGCAGAUCCCCUCUAGCUACCCUUCUGUCCGAGGUGGUGAAAUGCAGUCCAGAGAAGUUAUGAGAAAGUCUCAUUCUUAUCCAUAGGUGACUAUCUGAAAUACCUCUGUUUUUGAGGAGGAAGAAGAAGACCUCCCUUGCAGAAGAGAAAGGUCUUGGAAGAGCAGCUCCAUGUAGCUGGUUUAACAAUAUUAUCUAGGGAAAAAGAACUUCCUGAUUCUUUUGUCUUGAUUUUUAUGAUAAUCACGUGACAGACUCUUCAGGAACUAUUUGAUGUUUUCCUCAGUUGAUAGAAUUCUGUAGAGUAAAUUGGUGCAAACAUCUUCAGCACUUCAUUCCUUUGCUCACUUUGCAGAGCACAGUAUGGUAAUUCAGGGAAGAAGAGUCCAGGUCAUAAACUAGUGCUGAUUGCUUGGCAUGCCUAUACCAACACCUUCAAAGAGAAGCAAAGUGAUUCUAUUCUGUAUGGCAGCCCUAAUAUUUCCAAUAGGAUUUUACAUCAAUGAAGUCGGAGGUCAACCAUAUAAAUUACCCAAUAACACAGUGGUUGGGUCUUCGUAUGUACUGUUUGUCUUAUCCAUUUUCUUUACAAUAGUCGGACUUCUAUUUGCUGGCAAAGUUUGUUUACCUGGCUGAUGAAUGUUGAACUGCGGGACUUUGUUUUGGAAAAGAACAAGACAUCAGAAUUACAUUCUCAGGAGGAUGCCUCGAUGUGACUAUCAGACACUUACUGAAAAGAGGAAUGCUUUGACUUUUUCUCACUAUGCACUUUGGAUUAAAAAAAUGGAGAGCCUUUCCCAUUACCAAAUACAGACAACGUUGACUAAUCUCCUGAGCAUAUUUAAUGCAGUCAGGUCUGCACUGUGAUAGGAACUAGUGAAGAAUGCUUUACACUGAGAAGCAUAAUGCCCCGUGUUACUGUAUUGUUCUAGUUUUUAAUGUCUAAUGGUUUGGAAGUCAAAGUAUUUAUGAACUUUGUGGUAGACCAGAGGGUUGCAGAGGAAUGCAAGCGAGGCUGGCCUCGCUGUAUAGGAGAUUAGUAUUUUACAUCCUCUGUCUCACGAGCAAAGCCUUUGGCACCGGUAUGGAUCAGUCUUUCGUUGCUGCACCAAGAAGCCAAUAGAGCAAACUUUCUCUAAAAUGUAUGUACCAUCAUGAAGACAUACAUCCCCUCCUCCCCCAUAAGCUGUAGAAAAACACUAAAGAACAUUUUAGAGGGGGAUUUCUUCCUUAUAUUUAUAUAAAUAUAUAUAUAUAAUUAUAUAUAUAUUUUGCUGAUGCAGUAUACAGUGUGUGUGUGUAUGUGUGCGUGUGUAUAUACACAUAUGUAUAUAUUUGUAUAUACACACAAAUGGUUCCUGGAAAAGAACUCAGAACGCUUUGCUAGCAAAACACUGUGGUGUGCAAAACUAGAACUCAAUAGAAAAAGAAAAAGCCAUUUCUCUGAAGGCCACAUAGCUGAGAGUCUUCAGUUUACCUCAUUCUUUGUAGCAGCCCUUGAUUUUAACAGUUUUUGUAUUAGGUACAAACGAUCCCAUGCCUUUUUAGGUGCAAUUUUAAGUUAAGCUGAAAUUCUUUUUAUGGUAAUUUAUUUGUAUAUGAGGGUGGAAGGUGAGAUCAUGUCAUACCUUAAAGUUAAAACCCUAAUUUUGGGAAACUGACACUAUUUAAAUUAUUAGCAACUGUUGUACAGAACGUCUCUUUUUCUACUGCGUUGUUAUAUUAACACUCAUUUGUGUUCAAACGUAGCUGUUUACCACAGAUGAGCAUUUCUCUAGCACAGGUAAAAUGUAACAUUUAAAGUAAAGCAAGCACUGUUUCACUGCUGAGGUGGAUGGACUUAUUCACCUCCACAAAAAACCCAAUAGCAAUAUCAUUGUAUAAACAGUACACGCCUCAUUUACUGAAGUGAAUCUACAUGCAGAUUUAAGGGCCAACCACAUUUAGAGUAAAUAUUCCUCACAAAAAAGCAGUUUUACUUUUCAACACAGAAAUAAGUCUUUGGCUCCAUAGGUGUCAUAAUUUACCACUCGAUCUGCCUAGAGGAAAGUAGCAUUUUUGUUAGUGUCCCAGGAAGGCUGCCUGCAUUCUCAGUAUCUGUUCUCCAGUUAAUCUGUGAUUUACCAGUAUAAUCACUUAUCAGAUAACCUGAAGUUAUCUGAUUCUGCCAAGUUAAACAGUUCAUAUUUUGAUGUUCUGGAACAAACUUGUCAUUGUAACAGCCUCAGUGACUUCUUUUUCCCUUACAGGUAGAAGUGUUCACAUAACACUAAAUUUUUCUUAAGUACUCUAACCUGUAAAUAUGGCCAGGCCCCAGCCAUUUGUAAAUGAUGGCUGAAACAUGAUUUGGUUCUGAACUUAAGUCUUUCGGUAUGAAUGUUCUAAUUUUUUCCAGUGCUGCUAACAGGAAGAUGCAUUAAUGAAAGAUAAAACGUCAGGUUCAGCUGCUGGGUAUGUCUAAACUUUCAGCAUUACUGUGGGUUUAGCCAAAGCUGAAGUAUUUGCUUGAACUUAAAUUAUGACAAAGAAAAGCUCUUCUGUUUUCAGAAAUAUCACUUUUGUAAAUAGUUUUAGGUUCUUGUAACUGGAAUGUAGAGGGUGGAAGAGUUUGUUGGCUACCAAGAUGCCACCCCUCGCCUACUUAUUUCAGGUAUAGUAACAUCACGUAUAUGGUGGAUUUAGGCUUCAGUUAGUGGAUCAUCAUAUAACUGAAAAAACUGGCUGGAAAUUGAUCCGAUCUACCAGUGCUGUUGCUAUGAAUUAUUAAAUAACAGAUGUAACCAACCAGCUGUUUUAUUCACAAUUGGAGCAUUUUGAGUCCAGAAAUAGAAUACAGCCAUUUGCAUUAAAAAUAAAGUGACUCCAUCAGUAAAUGAAGAGACAGCUGUCAACAGUUGCUUUUAAUAACGUCACUAAGUACUAUAUAGUACAGUAUUAAUUUAUAGCAGAAAAUCAUAUCUUGUAAACUGUAUAUAAAACACUGUUUUAUGGUGCAAUCAUUUGUCAAACUUUUGUCUGUUACUUUUGUUUGAAAGAUGUGUACAUUAUUCUUCAAUACCUAAGAGCAUCACUGUAAAAUCUGCUGAAUAUUAUUUAUAGGUUCUAUUUGCACAAGGUUUAAACUACAGAAAGUUCGUACUGAACAUGCCUAAACAUCUGUAGACUUCUUUCAGUUCAAGGAAAGUUCCCAUACGAGUCUUCUCCAAAGGUAAUCCCGUAUUUAUGUUGUGUUUACAUAAACUUUUCUAUUUCUGCCAUUCGUUCUUUUUGAAGGACAGCACAUUUUGUGCAUUACUCGAAAUUCUUCAGUCUUCUUCUUCCAAAUUCUCCGGAGGGUUAUUGCUAUGGGCGCCUUGUUUAUUCGGCUAACAAAGCGUGAGUGAGAUCAGAAGCUUGAAAUACCUUCAGAAUGAGAACUGUUGGAUACGUGUAUGUAAAUCUCAUGGUUGAGACACGAUCCCCUCAGAGCCAUUAGUCCCAGGGGUGAGUAGAAUGUGCUUCCUUGAGUGCACAGUCACAUCCAGCGCUCACGGUGCUUUGCUGGUAGUACAACCCGGUGCAGCAGAGCUGGGGCAGGGCUGUGCUCCUGAGCCUGACCCUCUGGCCGCCAUGCCAGCUGGGCCCUGCGUUAUGCCUGUGUUUCAGAGCUGUUAUUUAACCACUUCAGAACACGCGUGUAGAUAAUAAAAUUGUCCUUUAAAAACUGUGUGAAGGAUGAAAAUAAUGAAGGAAACGGUGUCCACCAGCGGCUCUGCGGCCCGGGCAUCCCGUCGCUCCCUGCCCCAGGCCCGGCUGCCUGCAUCCGUCUGCCUGCCUUUACUGAGGAGUGUUUUCUAAGUGCUUACAACAUUUCUUUUUUUUUUUUUAAUUUCUUUUUGUUGUUGUUGUUUUGUUUUUUAAUUGAUGAUUUCUGAACAAAUGUUAAUACAAACUGUAUAAAAAAAAAAUGAACAUAAUUUUCUUCACACUUGUAUUUUUGUUAUUGAGCAAGUUUAUCAAAAUAAAUUGUCUACUAAAACCUC